AACCAGAUUGUGGUCCUUUGUUACAGCAGUCUUAGCCAAUUCCUACAGCAGGCUAGCUGCAAGGCAUCAUGGGAAGAUAUAGACAAGCCGCUCAAGUCCUAAUAUAGCAAGUGAGUCUCCUAGAAUAGGCAUAGAGCAUGAUCUGGCAGCUUCCCAUCUGCCGCUGAAAAAAGCUAAACGCAACAAAAAACAAAACAAAGGCAGGGGCUAUCUUGGUGCUCAAGGAGAAGAAUCUGGAAGACCUUCCCUCGACAUUCACGAGCAAACAUUGCUUCCAGUAAGUGGCUCACCCCCUGAUCAAGUGACUCAGCUUCUCCGAUUGCAGUCUCAGCGUCAUCCAACGGGGACAGAUAUGGAGGCCUGCUGGGCCCCAGCCCUGCUUGGCUCCCCCGAGAAUGAGUGGCCUGCAGUGGAAAAUUUCCUGUGUGGUGUUGCUGUUGGCUGCCCUGGAGGAGUCAGGGGCCUGGCAUCGACCCACCCCACAAACUCUGUGCAGACUUGAGGCUUGAGGAACGGGCCCACAGAUCGACAGGAAGAGGAAAGUCUGAGUUGAAAGGCACCAAGAAUCACUCCUGGGCUGGCUGGCUGAAGGCUGCAUCUUCAGAAGACACUGGAGCAGGAGAAGGAGCUCCAGUCUCUGCCUUCAGCUUGAACAUCAUCACCUGGCUUCCGGUGCAGACUCUUCAGCUUCUGGUGCAGACCUAUCGGCCUCCAGAUACCCACUAUCACGGAACCCUGCAGUGAGCUCCAGACCAUGGAUUGAACUCUUCUCAGUGUGCAGACAUCCUCUACUCGCUUCCUCAUCGAUCCUGUGGCUGAUGAUUGCGAGCCGAUCUUGCAACUCCUUAUACGUUUGUACACCUUGUGUUAUAUCUAUCUGUCUCUCUAGUAAACUCUGAUACAGCCAGCUA